UGGGGAAUCUUGCACAAUGGGCGAAAGCCUGAUGCAGCCAUGCCGCGUGGAUGAUGAAGGCCCUAGGGUUGUAAAAUCCUUUCGCCAGGGCUGAUAAUGACAGUACCUGGUAAAGCAGCCCCGGCUAACUUCGUGCCAGCAGCCGCGGAAAUACGAAGGGGGCUAGCGUUGGUCGGAAUUACUGGGCGUAAAGCGCGCGUAGGCGGACUCUUAAGCCAGAUGUGAAAUCCCGGGGCUCAACCCCGGAACUGCAUUUGGAACUGGGAGUCUAGAGUUCAGGAGAGGUUCGUGGAAUGCCGAGUGUAGAGGUGAAAUUCGUAGAUAUUCGGUGGAACACCAGUGGCGAAGGCGACGAACUGGACUGAUACUGACGCUGAGGUGCGAAAGUGUAGGGAGCAAACAGGAUUAGAGACCCCCGUAGUCCC
rnacentral:rRNA from 1 species